CCUGACGACCCCAGCGGACUGGAACCACCUGAGCCCACCAGGACCUCUGAAGUGAAACAGUCCUGCGCCGAUGGUAGUGUGGUUCGCCCAUGCGAGAGUAGGUCAUCGUCAGGC
rnacentral:rRNA from 1 species